rnacentral:rRNA from 1 species
UUGCAUCGAUGAAGAACGCAGCAAAAUGCGAUAAGUAAUGUGACUUGCAGAAUUCAGUGAAUCAUCGAAUCUUUGAACGCACAUUGCGCCCGCCAGUAUUCUGGCGGGCAUGCCUGUUCGAGCGUCAUUUCAACCCUCAAGCUCAGCUUGGUGUUGGGACUCGCGGUGUAAACCCGCGUUCCCCAAAUCGAUUGGCGGUCACGUCGAGCUUCCAUAGCGUAGUAAUCAUACACCUCGUUACUGGUAAUCGUCGCGGCCACGCCGUAAAACCCCAACUUCUGAAUGUUGACCUCGGAUCAGGUAGGAAUACCCGC